UACAAGACGCCAGAGAGCUUGCUGACUCU
rnacentral:piRNA from 1 species